rnacentral:rRNA from 1 species
UACGGAAGGCAGCAGUGGGGAAUAUUGCACAAUGGGCGAAAGCCUGAUGCAGCUAUGCCGCGUGUAUGAAGAAGGCCUUAGGGUUGUAAAGUACUUUCAUCGGGGAGGAAAAAACAAAACUAAUAAUUUUAUUUCUUGACGUUACCCGAAAAAGAAGCACCGGCUAACUCCGUGCCAGCAGCCGCGGUAAUACGGAGGGUGCUAGCGUUAAUCAGAAUUACUGGGCGUAAAGAGCACGUAGGUGGUUUUUUUAAGUCAGAUGUGAAAUCCCUGGGCUUAACCUAGGAACUGCAUUUUGAAACUGAAAUACUAGAGUAUCGUAGAGGGAGGUAGAAUUCUAGGUGUAGCGGUGAAAUGCGUAGAUAUCUGGAGGAAUACCUGUGGCGAAAGCGGCCUCCUAAACGAAUACUGACACUGAGGUGCGAAAAGCGUGGGGAGCAAAACAGGGAUUAAGAUACC